rnacentral:misc_RNA from 1 species
UCGUGACCCUGACCAAAACAGACCGCGCACGCGUCAUCCAGCCCGCCGAGCGGUCCGCCGCUCGGCCAAGUCCUCGACAACCUCCUCUCCUCGGAGCGGGGGCUCGGGGUAAAAGAACCCACGGCGCCGAAGGCGUCAAGGAACACUGUGCCUAGCCCGGGGACGCGGCUGGCUUGCUGGCCGCACCCCGUGCUGCAAUGCUAUUUAAUCCACACGACUCUCGGCAACGGAUAUCUCGGCUCUCGCAUCGAUGAAGAACGUAGCGAAAUGCGAUACCUGGUGUGAAUUGCAGAAUCCCGCGAACCAUCGAGUCUUUGAACGCAAGUUGCGCCCGAGGCCAUCCGGCCGAGGGCACGCCUGCCUGGGCGUCACGCUAAACACGCUCCCACCCCCCAUCAUCGGGGGAGCGGGAUGCGGCAUGUGGCCUUCCGUCUCGCAAGGGGCGGUGGGCCGAAGAUAUGGCUGCCGGCGUAUCGUGCCGGACACAGCGCUAGGUGGGCGUUCUCGCUAAGCUUAUCGCAGUGUAUCCGGUGCGUAGCCGACACGAUGGCCUCUAAAGACCCUUUGAACGGUGCGCAUGACGCUCCGACCGCGACCC